rnacentral:rRNA from 1 species
AGGGCGUAUGGUGAAUGCCUUGGGAAUAGGAGACGAUGAAGGACGUGACUACCUGCGAUAAGGUUCGGGGAGCUGGAAGUAAGCUUUGAUCCGGACAUGUCCGAAUGGGGAAACCCGGUGAGAUUAAUCUCUCAUCAUCCUAUAAUGAAUAAAUAGUUAUAGUGAAGGUAUACCUAGGGAAUUGAAACAUCUUAGUACCUAGAGGAAAAGAAAGCGAAAGCGAUUCUCUUAGUAGCGGCGAGCGAACGGGGAACAGCCCAAACCAGAUUUAUCUGGGGUUGUAGGACCAUAAUAGUAGAGUUACAAAACUUGUUUAUAGUAGAAAUGGUUGGGAAACCAUGCCACAGAGGGUGAUAGCCCCGUAUAUGAAAUAGACAAGACUCGAAAUGGUAUCCUGAGUACGGCGAGACACGUGAAAUCUUGUCGGAAUCAACGCGGACCACCGCGUAAGGCUAAAUACUACCUAUUCACCGAUAGUGAACCAGUACCGUGAGGGAAAGGUGAAAAGCACCCCGGGAGGGGAGUGAAAGAGUACCUGAAACCAUAUGCCUACAAGAAGUCGGAGCCCGUUAAUGGGUGACGGCGUGCCUUUUGUAGAAUGAGCCGGCGAGUUAUGAUAGCAUGCAAGGUUAAGUAGAAAAUACGGAGCCGUAGUGAAAGCGAGCCUUAAUAGGGCGUUUAGUAUGUUGUCAUAGACCCGAAACCAGGUGAUCUAGCCAUGAGCAGGUUGAAGUUGAGGUAAAACUUAAUGGAGGACCGAACCGACGUUCGUUGAAAAGACCGCGGAUGACUUGUGGCUAGGGGUGAAAUUCCAAUCGAACCUGGAGAUAGCUGGUUCUCCCCGAUAUAGCUUUAGGGCUAGCGUCGAGGUUAGCAAGUUGGAGGUAGAGCACUAAAUGUAUGAUGGCCUCACCUAGGGGUACUGAAUGCAAUUAAACUCCGAAUGCCAAUUUUGUAUACUCGGCAGUCAGUACAUGGGUGAUAAGGUCCAUGCACGUAAGGGAAACAGCCCAGAUCAUCAGCUAAGGUCCCAAAAUUUAUGCUAAGUGUGUAAGGAUGUGAAGUCGCUUAGACAGCUAGGAGGUUGGCUUAGAAGCAGCCACCCUUUAAAGAGUGCGUAACAGCUCACUAGUCGAGUAACUUUGCGCCGAAAAUGUACCGGGGCUAAGCAUAAUACCGAAGCUAUGGGUUUUGUAUUUAUAUACAGGGCGGUAGGGGAGCGUUCUAACAGGGAUGAAGGUAGACCGUGAGGACUGCUGGACUGGUUAGAAGUGAGAAUGCCGGCAUGAGUAACGUUUGAGGGUGAGAAUCCCUCAUGCCGUUUGACCAAGGUUUCCUGGGCAAGGUUCGUCCACCCAGGGUUAGUCAGGACCUAAGGCGAGGCCGAAAGGCGUAGUCGAUGGACAACAGGUUGAUAUUCCUGUACCACCAUAUAGAGCGAUGGAGUGACGGAGAAGGAUAGUAUAUCCCGGUUAUUGGAUUCCGGGCUAAGCACAAAGAGGGUAAGGUUGGCAAAUCCGCCUUGCAUAACCUUGAAGUGUGAUGGGGAGCGAACGGUUCGCCUAGUAGCGAAGUAUAUGACUCCAUGCUUCCAAGAAAAGCUUCUAGUACUAUUUAUAUGGUGCCUGUACCUAGAACGAACACACGUGGUCAAGGAGAGAAUCCUAAGGCAAGCGAGAUAACUGUAGCUAAGGAACUCUGCAAAAUAACCCCGUAAGUUAGCGAGAAGGGGUGCUCAUAGUAAUAUGAGCCGCAGUGAAGAGGAAGGGGCAACUGUUUAGCAAAAACACAGCUCUCUGCAAAGUCGUAAGACGACGUAUAGGGGGUGACGCCUGCCCAGUGCUGGAAGGUUAAGGGGAUUAGUUAGCAUUAGCGAAGCUUUGAACCGAAGCCCCAGUGAACGGCGGCCGUAACUAUAACGGUCCUAAGGUAGCGAAAUUCCUUGUCAGGUAAGUUCUGACCCGCACGAAAGGUGUAAUGAUCCCUUCGCUGUCUCGGC